CCCUUAGAUGUUCUGGGCCGCACGCGUGCUACACUGAGUGGAUCAGCGGGUCAGGUUGCGCGAAAGUGUUUCCUAAUCUUUAAAUCCGCUCGUGAUGGGGAUUGACGGUUGCAAUUUUCCGUCAUGAACGAGGAAUACCUUGUAAGCGCGGGUCAUCAUCCCGCGCUGAAUACGUCCCUGCCCUUUGUACACACCGCCCGUCGCUCCUACCGAUUGAGUGGUCCGGUGAGGCUUUGGGAUCUGGGCGGAAAGAGCGUUUCGCUGUUUCUGCCCGGAAAACUCGGUCGAACCUUAUCAUUUAGAGGAAGGAGAAGUCGUAACA
rnacentral:rRNA from 1 species